rnacentral:rRNA from 1 species
UACGUAGGGUGCGAGCGUUGUCCGGAAUUACUGGGCGUAAAGAGCUCGUAGGUGGUUUGUCGCGUUGUUCGUGAAAACUCACAGCUCAACUGUGGGCGUGCGGGCGAUACGGGCAGACUAGAGUACUGCAGGGGAGACUGGAAUUCCUGGUGUAGCGGUGGAAUGCGCAGAUAUCAGGAGGAACACCGGUGGCGAAGGCGGGUCUCUGGGCAGUAACUGACGCUGAGGAGCGAAAGCGUGGGGAGCGAACAGG